AGCAUAUCAAUAAGCGGAGGAAAAGAAACCAACAGGGAUUGCCCCAGUAACGGCGAGUGAAGCGGCAUCAGCUCAAAUUUGAAAUCUGGCGCCUUCGGCGUCCGAGUUGUAAUUUGUAGAGGGAGUUCCGGCAUCGGGCCCGUACUAGGUUCCUUGGAACAGGACGUCAUAGAGGGUGAGAACCCCGUCUUCGUUCGGGACGCCUUUGCCAUGUGGAACCCUUUCGACGAGUCGAGUUGUUUGGGAAUGCAGCUCUAAAUGGGAGGUAAAUUUCUUCUAAAGCUAAAUACCGGCCAGAGACCGAUAGCGCACAAGUAGAGUGAUCGAAAGAUGAAAAGCACUUUGGAAAGAGAGUUAAAAAGCACGUGAAAUUGUUGAAAGGGAAGCUCAUGCAGCCAGACUUGGCCGCGGUUGUUCAGCCGUCCUUCUGGGCGGUGUACUCUUCCGCGGGCAGGCCAGCAUCAGUUCUGGGGGCCGUACAAAGGUUAGGGAAACGUAGCUCUCCUUCGGGGGAGUGUUAUAGUCCCAAACGUAAUGCGGCCACCCGGGACUGAGGACCGCGCAUUGCAAGGAUGCNGGCGUAAUGGUUGUAUGCGACCCGU
rnacentral:rRNA from 1 species